CAGCCGCCGCGGUAAUUCGGAGGGUGCAAGCGUUGUUCGGAAUUAUUGAGCGUAAAGCGCGUGUAGGCGGGAAGGCAGGUCAGGUGUGAAAUCCCUUGGCUUAACCAAGGAACUGCAUCUGAAACCAUUUUCCUCGAGUACGAUAGGGGAGGGCGGAAUUCCCAGUGUAGAGGUGAAAUUCAUAGAUAUUGGGAGGAACACCAGUGGCGAAGGCGACCCUCUGGAUCGAUACUGACGCCGAGACGCGAAAGCGUGGGUAGCAAACAGGAUUAGAUACCCUGGUAGUCCACGCUGUAAACGAUGUGCACUAGGUGUUGGAGGUACUUAAUCCUCCAGUGCCGCAGCUAACGCAUUAAGUGCACCGCCUGGGGAAUACGGCCGCAAGGUUAAAACUCAAAGGAAUUGACGG
rnacentral:rRNA from 1 species